rnacentral:rRNA from 1 species
UGAGAGUGGCGAACGGGUGAGUAAUGCGUGACCGACCUGCCCCAUACACCGGAAUAGCUCCUGGAAACGGGUGGUAAUGCCGGAUGCUCCAGUUGAUCGCAUGGUCUUCUGGGAAAGCUUUCGCGGUAUGGGAUGGGGUCGCGUCCUAUCAGCUUGACGGCGGGGUAACGGCCCACCGUGGCUUCGACGGGUAGCCGGCCUGAGAGGGCGACCGGCCACAUUGGGACUGAGAUACGGCCCAGACUCCUACGGGAGGCAGCAGUGGGGAAUAUUGCACAAUGGGCGCAAGCCUGAUGCAGCGACGCCGCGUGAGGGAUGGAGGCCUUCGGGUUGUAAACCUCUUUUAUCGGGGAGCAAGCGAGAGUGAGUUUACCCGUUGAAUAAGCACCGGCUAACUACGUGCCAGCAGCCGCGGUAAUACGUAGGGUGCAAGCGUUAUCCGGAAUUAUUGGGCGUAAAGGGCUCGUAGGCGGUUCGUCGCGUCCGGUGUGAAAGUCCAUCGCUUAACGGUGGAUCCGCGCCGGGUACGGGCGGGCUUGAGUGCGGUAGGGGAGACUGGAAUUCCCGGUGUAACGGUGGAAUGUGUAGAUAUCGGGAAGAACACCAAUGGCGAAGGCAGGUCUCUGGGCCGUUACUGACGCUGAGGAGCGAAAGCGUGGGGAGCGAACAGGAUUAGAUACCCUGGUAGUCCACGCCGUAAACGGUGGAUGCUGGAUGUGGGGCCCGUUCCACGGGUUCCGUGUCGGAGCUAACGCGUUAAGCAUCCCGCCUGGGGAGUACGGCCGCAAGGCUAAAACUCAAAGAAAUUGACGGGGGCCCGCACAAGCGGCGGAGCAUGCGGAUUAAUUCGAUGCAACGCGAAGAACCUUACCUGGGCUUGACAUGUUCCCGACGGUCGUAGAGAUACGGCUUCCCUUCGGGGCGGGUUCACAGGUGGUGCAUGGUCGUCGUCAGCUCGUGUCGUGAGAUGUUGGGUUAAGUCCCGCAACGAGCGCAACCCUCGCCCCGUGUUGCCAGCGG